ACACUUUUCAUUCACCGCCAGAUGCUUAUAUUGGACUUUGCCGGACUCGUCCGGAGAUGGCGAUGAACGAUGCCGUAAAAUAGAUGCAGCGGACCCGGGGGCAGUACCCGGCGGCUCCACCAAAAUUCCCGUCGCGCGGCGGGGAUCCUGACGGGGCCGAACCAGGAUCGACGUGUAUUGAAAGACGGUGUUUUUGCCCGGCCUGAAUGCGCCGCUAAACCGUUCACAACCACAAGUGCCAACGAUAACGAGGCGCUCGCGAUUGCUGCGUAACGAGGCCCUAACGGGUUGAGUUACAAAGCUUAAGCGCGGUUCGGGCCGAACCGGGCAACAGAAUCGGACACC
rnacentral:tmRNA from 1 species